rnacentral:rRNA from 1 species
GUGCCAGCAGCACGCGGUAAUACGUAGGUGGCAAGCGUUAUCCGGAAUUAUUGGGCGUAAGGCGCGCGUAGGCGGUUUUUUAAGUCUGAUGUGAAAGCCCACGGCUCAAUCGUGGAGGGUCAUUGGAAACUGGAAAACUUGAGUGCAGAAGAGGAAAGUGGAAUUCCAUGUGUAGCGGUGAAAUGCGCAGAGAUAUGGAGGAACACCAGUGGCGAAGGCGACUUUCUGGUCUGUAACUGACGCUGAUGUGCGAAAGCGUGGGGAUCAAACAGGAU